rnacentral:rRNA from 1 species
AGUCUGACGGAGCAACGCCGCGUGAGUGAUGAAGGUUUUCGGAUCGUAAAGCUCUGUUGUUAGGGAAGAACAAGUACAAGAGUAACUGCUUGUACCUUGACGGUACCUAACCAGAAAGCCACGGCUAACUACGUGCCAGCAGCCGCGGUAAUACGUAGGUGGCAAGCGUUGUCCGGAAUUAUUGGGCGUAAAGCGCGCGCAGGCGGUCCUUUAAGUCUGAUGUGAAAGCCCACGGCUCAACCGUGGAGGGUCAUUGGAAACUGGGGGACUUGAGUGCAGAAGAGAAGAGUGGAAUUCCACGUGUAGCGGUGAAAUGCGUAGAGAUGUGGAGGAACACCAGUGGCGAAGGCGACUCUUUGGUCUGUAACUGACGCUGAGGCGCGAAAGCGUGGGGAGCAAACAGGAUUAGAUACCCUGGUAGUCCACGCCGUAAACGAUGAGUGCUAAGUGUUAGAGGGUUUCCGCCCUUUAGUGCUGCAGCAAACGCAUUAAGCACUCCGCCUGGGGAGUACGGCCGCAAGGCUGAAACUCAAAGA